rnacentral:tRNA from 1 species
GCCCAGCUAACUCAGUUGGUAGAUCAUGGGACUCUUAAUCCCAAGGUUGUGGGUUCAUGCCCCAUACUGGGUA